rnacentral:rRNA from 1 species
GAUGAACGUUGGCGGCGUGCCUAAUACAUGCAAGUCGAGCGAAUGGAUUAAGAGCUUGCUCUUAUGAAGUUAGCGGCGGACGGGUGAGUAACACGUGGGUAACCUGCCCAUAAGACUGGGAUAACUCCGGGAAACCGGGGCUAAUACCGGAUAACAUUUUGAACCGCAUGGUUCGAAAUUGAAAGGCGGCUUCGGCUGUCACUUAUGGAUGGACCCGCGUCGCAUUAGCUAGUUGGUGAGGUAACGGCUCGCCAAGGCAACGAUGCGUAGCCGACCUGAGAGGGUGAUCGGCCACACGGGGACUGAGACACGGCCCAGACUCCUACGGUAGGCAGCAGUAGGGAAUCUUCCGCAAUGGACGAAAGUCUGACGGAGCAACGCCGCGUGAGUGAUGAAGGCUUUCGGGUCGUAAAACUCUGUUGUUAGGGAAGAACAAGUGCUAGUUGAAUAAGCUGGCACCUUGACGGUACCUAACCAGAAAGCCACGGCUAACUACGUGCCAGCAGCCGCCGUAA